UGUUGUUGUUUAGUCGUUUAGUCGUGUCCGACUCUUCGUGACCCCAUGGACCAGAGCACGCCAGGCACUUCUGUCCUCCACUGCCUCCCUCAGUUUGGCCAAACUCAUGCUGGUAGCUUCAAGAACACCAUCCAACCAUCUCAUUCUCUGUCGUCCCCUUCUCCUUGUGCCCUCCAUCUUUCCCAACAUCAGGGUCUUUUCCAGGGAGUCUUCUCUUCUCAUGAGGUGGCCAAAGUAUUGGAGCCUCAGCUUCACGAUCUGUCCUUCCAGUGAGCACUCAGGGCUGAUUUCCUUAAGAAUGGAUACGUUUGAUCUUCUUGCAGUCCAUGGGACUCUCAAGAGUCUCCUCCAGCACCAUAAUUCAAAAGCAUCAAUUCUUCGGCGAUCAGCCUUCUUUAUGGUCCAGCUCUCACUUCCAUACAUCACUACUGGGAAAACCAUGGCUUUUACUAUACGGACCUUUGUUGGCAAGGUGAUGUCUCUGCUUUUAAGAUGUUGUCUAGGUUUGCCAUCGCCUUUCUCCCAAGGAGCAGGCGUCUUUUAAUUUCGUGACUGCUGUCACCAUCUGCAGUGAUCAUGGAGCCCAAGAAAGUAAAAUCUCUCACUGCCUCCAUUUCUUCCCCUUCUAUUUGCCAGGAGGUGAUGGGCCCAGUGGCCAUGAUCUUAGUUUUUUGAUAUUGAGCUUCAGACCAUAUUUUGCGCUCUCCUCUUUCACCCUCAUUAAAAGGUUCUUUAAUUCCUCUUCACUUUCUGCCAUCAAGGUUGUGUCAUCUGCAUAUCUGAGGUUGUUGAUAUUUCUUCCGGCAAUCUUAAUUCCGGCUUGGGAUUCAUCCAGCCCAGCCUUUCGCAUGAUGAAUUCUGCAUAUAAGUUAAAUAAGCAGGAGACAAUAUACAGCCUUGCCGUACUCCUUUCCCAAUUUUAAACCAAUCAGUUGUUCCAUAUCCAGUUCUAACUGUAGCUUCUUGUCCCACAUAGAGAUUUCUCAGGAGACAGAUGAGGUGAUCCGGCACUCCCAUUUCUUUAAGAACUUGCCAUAGUUUGCUGUGGUCGACACAGUCAAAGGCUUUUGCAUAGUCAAUGAAGCAGAAGUAGAUGUCUUUCUGGAACUCUCUAGCUUUCUCCAUAAUCCAGCGCAUGUUUGCAAUUUGGUCUCUGGUUCCUCUGCCUCUUCUAAAUCCAGCUUGCACUUCUGGGAGUUCUCGGUCCACAUACUGCUUGAGCCUUCCUUGUAGAAUUUUAAGCAUAACCUUGCUAGCAUGUGAAAUGAGUGAAAUUGUGCGGUAGUUGGAGCAUUCUUUGGCACUGCCUUUCUUUGGGAUUGGGAUGUAGACUGAUCUUCUCCAAUCCUCUGGCCACUGCUGAGUUUUCCAAACUUGCUGGCAUAUUGAGUGUAGCACCUUAACAGCAUCAUCUUUUAAAAUUUUAAACAGUUCAGCUGGAAUACCAUCACUUCCACUGGCCUUGUUAUUUGCAGUGCUUUCUAAGGCCCAUUUGACUUCACUCUCCAGGAUGUCUGGCUCAAGGUCAGCAACCACACUACCUGGGGUGUACGAGACAUCCAUAUCUUUCUGGUAUAAUUCCUCUGUGUAUUCUUGCCACCUCUUCUUGAUGUCUUCUGCUUCAGUUAGGUCUUUACCACUUUUGUCCUUUAUUAUGGUAAUCUUUGUACGAAAUGUUCCUUUCAUAUUUCCGAUUUUCUUGAACAGAUCUCUGGUUCUUCCCAUUCUGUUGUUUUCCUCUAUUUCUUUGCAUUGCUCGUUUAAGAAGGCUUUCUUGUCUCUCCUUGCUAUUCUUUGGAAAUCUGCAUUCAAUUUCCUGUAUCUUUCACUAUCUCCCUCGCAUUUUGCUUGCCUUCUCUCCCCCGCUAUUUGUAAGGCCUCGUUGGACAGCCACUUUGCUUUCUUGCAUUUCUUUUUCAUUGGGAUGGUUUUAGUUGCUGCCUCCUGUAUAAUGUUGCGAGCCUCCACCCAUAGUUCUUCAGGCACUCUGUCCAGCAAAUCUAAAUCCUUAAACCUGUUCCUCACUUCCACUGUGUAUUCAUAAGGGAUUUGGUUUAGAUUGUAUCUUACCUGUCCAGUGGUUUUUCCUACUUUCUUCAGUUUAAGCUUGAAUUUUGCUAUAAGAAGCUGAUGAUCUGAGCCACAGUCAGCUCCAGGUCUUGUUUUUGCUGACUGUAUAGAGCUUCUCCAUCUUUGGCUGCAGAGAAUAUAAUCAAUCUGAUUUCGAUGUUGCCCAUCUGGUGAUGUCCAUGUGUAGAGUCGUCUCUUGUGUUGUUGGAAAAGCGUGUUUGUGAUGACCAGCUUGUUCUCUUGACAGAACUCUAUUAGCCUUUGCCCUGCUUCGUUUUGAUCUCCAAGGCCAAACUUGCCAGUUGUUCCUUUUAUCUCUUGAUUCCCUACUUUAGCAUUCCAAUCCCCUAUAAUGAGAAGAACAUCCUUCUUUGGUGUCACUUCUAUAAGGUCUUGUAAGUCUUCAUAGAACUGGUCAAUUUCAGUUUCUUCAGCACCAGUAGUUGGUGCAUAAACUUGGAUUACUGUGGUGUUAAAAGGUCUGCCUUGGAUUCGUAUCGAGAUCAUUCUAUCAUUUUUGAGACUGCAUCCCAGUACAGCUUUCGCCACUCUUUUGUUGACUAUGAGGGCCACCCCAUUUCUUUUACGGGUUUCUUGCCCACAGUAGUAGAUAUGAUAGUCAUCCGAACUGAAUUCGCCCAUUCCCGUCCAUUUUAGCUCACUGAUGCCCAGGAUGUCAAUAUUUAUUCUUGCCAUCUCAUUUUUGACCACAUCCAACUUACCCAGGUUCAUAGUUCUUACAUUCCAGGUUCCUAUGCAAUAUUUUUCUUUACAGCAUUGGACUUUCCUUUCGCUUCCAUGCAUAUCCACAACUGAGCGUCCUUUCGGCUUUGGCCCAGCCGCUUCAUCAGCUCUGGAUCUACUUGUACUUGUCCUCCGCUCUUCCCCAGUAGCAUGUUGGACACCUUCCGACCUGAGGGGCUCAUCUUCCAGCGUCAUAACUUUUAUAUGCCUGUCUUUGUCCAUGGAGUUUUCUUGGCAGGGAUACUGGAGUGGCUUGCCGGUUCCUACUCCAGGUGGAUCACGUUUGGUCAAAACUCUCCACUAUGACCUGUUCAUCUUGGGUGCCCUGCUUGGCAUAGUUCAUAGCUUCUCUGAGUUCUUCA